AACGAACGCUGGCGGCAGGCUUAACACAUGCAAGUCGAGCGCCCCGCAAGGGGAGCGGCAGACGGGUGAGUAACGCGUGGGAAUCUACCGUGCCCUGCGGAAUAGCUCCGGGAAACUGGAAUUAAUACCGCAUACGCCCUACGGGGGAAAGAUUUAUCGGGGUAUGAUGAGCCCGCGUUGGAUUAGCUAGUUGGUGGGGUAAAGGCCUACCAAGGCGACGAUCCAUAGCUGGUCUGGGAGGAUGAUCAGCCACAUUGGGACUGAGACACGGCCCAGACACCAAUGGGGGGCAGCAGUGGGGAAUAUUGGACAAUGGGCGCAAGCCUAAUCCAGCCAUGCCGCGGGAGUGAUGAAGGCCCUAGGGUUGUAAAGCUCUUUCAACGGUGAAGGUAAUGACGGCAACCGUAGAAGAAGCCCCGGCUAACUUCGUGCCAGCCGCCGCCGUAACAC
rnacentral:rRNA from 1 species